AGCGAACGCUGGCGGUAGGCCUAACACAUGCAAGUCGAACGGCAGCACAGUAAGAGCUUGCUCUUACGGGUGGCGAGUGGCGGACGGGUGAGGAAUACAUCGGAAUCUACUUUUUCGUGGGGGAUAACGUAGGGAAACUUACGCUAAUACCGCAUACGACCUACGGGUGAAAGCAGGGGAUCUUCGGACCUUGCGCGAUUGAAUGAGCCGAUGUCGGAUUAGCUAGUUGGCGGGGUAAAGGCCCACCAAGGCGACGAUCCGUAGCUGGUCUGAGAGGAUGAUCAGCCACACUGGAACUGAGACACGGUCAAGACUCCUACGGGAGGCAGCAGUGGGGAAUAUUGGACAAUGGGCGCAAGCCUGAUCCAGCCAUACCGCGUGGGUGAAGAAGGCCUUCGGGUUGUAAAGCCCUUUUGUUGGGAAAGAAAAGCAGCAGGUUAAUACCCCGCUGUUCUGACGGUACCCAAAGAAUAAGCACCGGCUAACUUCGUG
rnacentral:rRNA from 1 species